GCCCGAGUGGCGGAAUUGGUAGACGCCAGGGACUUAAAAUCCCUUGCUCCGGAAGGGGCGUGCCGGUUCGAUUCCGGCCUCGGGUACCA
rnacentral:tRNA from 1 species